GUGAAGUGGGGAAAUGUUCCAUCAUGCGAACAUCACUUGGACAUGGUCAAUCCUACAUGAACUCCUUGUAUCAAGGGUGCACUCUACAUGAACAUCGAAAGAGAAUUGGGUUAAUAUUCCCGAACAAGGACAUGGUGGUGGAUGACAAUGUUAAGAAAUCUAGAGAUGUCAUUGAGGUCCUAGGAAGAGUUAUCUUUUCUUUUUAAUGAAUUUCCCACCCUGAAAUCGGUUCAACUAGAGAUAGGGUCCAACAUCUGAAAGAGAACCACAUGUCUUGUGGUGUUUGGUGCCCCCUCGGAGGCCAUUGUAAAUAUGGUGAAUCAAGUACCAUCAAUGCCCAAUCGUACUCAUAUCUGCCUCCUUGGAUUUUUCAAUGC
rnacentral:ncRNA from 1 species